CACAACUCUGAAGCUCUACAUGUC
rnacentral:siRNA from 1 species